UCAAUAUUAGAAGAGUAUGCAGCCUCAAUAGCAACCAGAGGAUUGCUUCAUUCUAACUCUAGUCGAUCCAAGCAUUCUCUACAGGAUCAGGCCUUGGAUGGAAACCUCUCCAUAAACCACAGUGGUACUCAACAUGUAAAACCAGGAAAGACAGAAUUGUGAAAUUGCAAGACAUUUGUUUAAAAGUUAUGCCUGUCCUCCAGAUGUACUACAGACAGAGUUAGUUCCCUUUCUUUCACUCAUUGAUGUAACACUCCAUGACCCAGGUCAAAUUUCAUUUAUAAAUGAAAUAACCAAGUUGUCUUAUGUCAGAAUAAGGUCCGAGAAGCUGGACGAGAAGGAUCUAGGAGUGGAUAAAGAUUCACAGGAGACGGGGAACUCCGGGGAGACAGCGUGGCCCAACAAGAUGGAAGAGGACAAUAUUUCAAACAGCCAAUCAAAAGUUGUCACAGAGGAGAUGGAAGAGGAGGAAGAAUACGAGAUCACGGAGUUCGAUGCCUGAGGCCUCAAUGUUCCUGGUUUCAUUCUCUUUUUCCAGACUAGAAUAUUUAAUAAAUAUUUUCAUUUU